GAUUUUCUCACGUUUUAUGGAUGGCGUUUACUAAAAAACGUCGGUUUAAACGUCACCAGCGCUCUAAGGAAACGCUUCUGAGCUACACCGAUAUAAUUAUCAGGACACAAAAAAUACCCUGAUGAUGAUCCAAAAAGCCGACGGUCGAAAAUCCAUAAAACAUCUAGUUGGCGAAUGCGAUGCUCACGUUGUCGUUGCUAGGAUACUAGUAGGCGUUGGUAGCAGAAACAAAACAACAUCGUUGCGCUGCGGCGCACCCGAGACGCCGGUAGAAAAGCGUCGCGACGCUAAUUAUCGGACGUAAUUAGGAUAAGCUCGGUAUGGUUAGUUAGCUGCAAUAAGUGACGUAGAUAGGC